rnacentral:rRNA from 1 species
UACGGGGGGGGGCAAGCGUUGUUCGGAAUUACUGGGCGUAAAGCGCACGUAGGCGGCUUUGUAAGUUAGAGGUGAAAGCCUGGAGCUCAACUCCAGAAUAGCCUUUAAGACUGCAUCGCUUGAAUCCAGGAGAGGUGAGUGGAAUUCCGAGUGUAGAGGUGAAAUUCGUAGAUAUUCGGAAGAACACCAGUGGCGAAGGCGGCUCACUGGACUGGUAUUGACGCUGAGGUGCGAAAGCGUGGGGAGCAAACAGG